rnacentral:rRNA from 1 species
UACGUAGGGGUGCGAGCGUUAAUCGGAAUUCUGGGGCGUAAAGCGUGCGCAGGCGGUGAUGUAAGACAGAUGUGAAAUCCCCGGGCUCAACCUGGGAACUGCAUUUGUGAACUGGCAUCGCUGGAGUGCGGCAGAGGGGGAUGGAAUUCCGGCGUGUAGCAGUGAAAUGCGUAGAUAUGCGGAGGAACACCGAUGGCGAAGGCAGCUCGCUGGGACGGUACUGACGCUGAGGCGGCGAAAGCGUGGGGAGCAAACAGG